ACAAGAACCACUCACUCUACUGGUAACAAAUGAAAUGGAUAUUUGUGAACUUCUUCGUGCAAGAAGUACGUAAAAGAAGGUUCCAGGACGAACGAACUUAUAACAACAUAAGUGUUCCACAUCGUUUUAAACUUUUAAUGACUGAAGCACAUCUCCAGUGCCACCGGUGUUUUAUUAGUGCGGACCUGCAUGGACAUUUUUCGCCAAAGGAUUUUUCUUGCGUUUGAUGUCUGCAUCUUUGAUAUAAUCUUACGAUGAACGAAGAACAGGGCGAUUUGAAUAAAAAGGACUUUCUGAAGAAGGAAGAAAGUACAACCGAAGAUGAGGUCACGUCGUUAAGAUAUAGAAUACUUUACGCUUUCUUCUUGGGAUUUCUCUACUAUAUGUGGCUGAAGAUUAACAUGCAUCACGACAGAUUUGCAGCUCUAUAUGAGGAGCAUCAAAGAAAAUCUCUUGAACGUCUCGAUUUCAACCAAUUCCGGAGCCAGUACCCUGUUGCCGCAGCCGCGCUAAUGGAAGGGUGGGAUUCGGAAGUUGAAUUCAGCGAGCCUGAGGUUUAUGGAGUACAAGAAGUUGAAUGUAAAGAUAAGAAGGAUCGCAGGAACCGCAGAUGAAGAAGCAGACUUCAUAAGAUGGAAUUUUAACAUGCUUAGUUUUAGUCAUCGAGAUAAACGCACGCGCUUGUACUUCAGUUUUUUAUCCCAAUACGAUUCUAAAAUUUCGUAAAAACAUUGCUCUGAUUUCUGUAUAUCAUUCAGAAUGUAUUUUUAUAUGGUAUUUGCAAUUUUUUUUAUUAACGAGGGCAUCUUAGUUUUAUUGUUGAUCACUUUUAAGUACCGCUUCAUCUCAAGAGCUGUAGAGUCUGAUUUCCUCACAUUUUGAACUAACGUUUGCAUACAGAGCUUUGCUAUUUUCAAUCGUGUGAUAAAAAUUAAUUUUUACUCCAUAAACGCUCUGCUACUGUUUUUAUACGAAUUUUAUUUUAUACUUUCAUCAACUGAUUUCUAGGUUCUAUUUUGUUACUUAACUUCUAUUUUCUUUUUUUCUCGUCUUUGCGUAUUAAAUCUACCUUAAAUCGCAUAUACGCAGUUCACGGUUUGUUUAUUAUUCAAAGGUAUUCCAAAUGUCAAAGACGUUAAGAUGUUAUUUUAAGGCGAUAAGAGUUAUUCUUAUACCUUUAAAAACAUCUUAUGCAUCUUUGUUUCUUCCACUAAUUCCCAUCCAGUCUCCUCCGCAAAGUUGUGUUUUGAAAUCCGCGAGGCCCAACGUUCCUCUGUCAUAGUUGUCUCGGCCAGUUAUAAAUCAUAAAUCCAAUGUCUGGUUUAAAGGGUACGGAAACCAAAAUUAUACUUUCCUUCUCUGUGAAUUUUGAUACUACAAUCAUAUUUCAAAAGGUGACAUAUGUGUAUAUAUAUUUUUAUGUAAGAACAAACGAAUUUGAAAUAGUUUUUACGCUGAUCUGCCUGAGAUCUCAUAAAUUCAUUUACAAGUUUUGCAGCUUCGUUUUAAUUCU